CCUAACACAUGCAAGUCGAACGGUAACAGGAAACAGCUUGCUGUUUCGCUGACGAGUGGCGGACGGGUGAGUAAUGUCUGGGAAACUGCCUGAUGGAGGGGGAUAACUACUGGAAACGGUAGCUAAUACCGCAUAACGUCGCAAGACCAAAGAGGGGGACCCUCGGGCCUCUUGCCAUCGGAUGUGCCCAGAUGGGAUUAGUUUGUUGGUGGGGUAACGGCUCACCAAGGCGACGAUCCCUAGCUGGUCUGAGAGGAUGACCAGCCACACUGGAACUGAGACACGGUCCAGACUCCUACGGGAGGCAGCAGUGGGGAAUAUUGCACAAUGGGCGCAAGCCUGAUGCAGCCAUGCCGCGUGUAUGAAGAAGGCCUUCGGGUUGUAAAGACU
rnacentral:rRNA from 1 species